CAUUCUUUCUUGAGAAACAAGUUGUUAGGAUUUCUUCAUUUCUUGUUGAUGUUAGUUCCAGUAUCGUCUCUUUAUGGGAUGACUCUAAGUGUAGUUGUCUGGAAACAAGCGGCGUCGACUCUAAAGUAACGGAAACGCCCAGCUUAUUACAAGCACUUCUGGCUUCCACUUUCUCAUUUUUGCCCGUUUAUUAUCUGAUGAUCAUGUGGUUCCUUUCCCCUGUGCUGAAGCACACAUCAAUCCACACAGAAUGAAAAGAGAGGGCAAAGAAAAACACGACUAUUCCCCUCCUGCUGCAACAAGGACAUCGCCCAACCAUCUGACGAAUGUUUACAGCAAUAUUAUGCUUGUAGAGAUCAUAAUCAUCAGCUCUACUCCAGUUUGAACACUAGAUGGCAAUAGUUGCUCAAGCAUUCUUCUCCCCUCUGCGAAGGGUCAUUCUGAAAAAUACUGCAAAACUUUAGUUAAGGUUGUUGUUUCCCCUUCCCCAUAGCCAUCUUCAAAUAUGCAUUGGAAGGAAUUUCCCGUUCUGCCACCCCAGUGAAGCUCUGAUACUUGGACCAAGUCAAUAAACAAAGGGAAAGAGAGAGAUCAAGUGAGGUUGAGAACUGGUCAGAAUCAGAAAUGGCAAAAUGGAAUUUUCUGAGAACUGUAACAUUAUUGUAACAGGAUUGUAAAAUUUGAGGUCUGCAGCCACUUCUCUCAGGGUUUGGGAAGAGAUAUGGCACAAACUGAUUCGAGAAGGCAAGUCAGUUAUAUCAGAAUCUCCAGGCAAAUGGUGGGUUUCUACCAAAGAACAUCUUCCUAACUGACAUUUUGCAUUUUGUAAGAACCAAACAUCUUAAGAAACAAAGUGGCUUCUUCAGCUGAAAUAUCUCCCAAUUCCUUUGAUUGGGGCAAUACCCUGCAGACCAACCCUCCCAAACAGUCUCAACUGCACUUCUGUAAUCUCUGUGGGAAACUGAUGUUGGGAGGUACUUAAAUGACAGGGCCAUGGCACAAAUUUGCAUAAAAUUGGCAUUUGCUAAUUUAUAGGUAAAGAUACCUCUGGAAAAAUUUAGAGGGUCGGUGGGUGGGGUCUCACCAGCACUGCACUUUGCCUAACCUCCCUGUAAACAGAGUUUAUUUUUUUUUAAAUCAACUUUUUAAAAGGGAGUAAAAGGGGGAAGCCUCAGUCCAAGCAGAGUGAUUUUUUUACUGACCUCCUAACCUUGAAUCUUCAGAUUAAAAAAAUUAAACUUUAGAAAUAGAAAUGAUCCCACCAAGAAGAAAAAGUUCCAUAAGAAAUGGUUCUGUUUUAUACAGCUUGUGGCUAGCAAAGAGCAUGUUUGGAUUCCCCGUUCAACCCUCUCUUCGCUUUGAAGAGACAUGUUGGGAUAACUUGCAUUUCCUAACUUUGUACCAUUGUAUUAUAAACCUAUGGAAAUUAUGAUUUCAACCUGAUUAUCAUACUGAAUUGUGUGAUAAAACACAAAGUUGGAAAUUUUGUUUCUCAAUAAGCUAUGAGUUUUCUUUAUUGAAUAUGCUCAUAUAUUUA